rnacentral:rRNA from 1 species
GAUUAAGCCAUGCAUGUGUAAGUAUAAAUAGUUAACUUUGAAACUGAGAAUGGCUAUUAUAUCAGUUAUAGUUUAUUUGAUGAAGAAUACUAAUUGGAUAACCGUAGUAAUUCUAGAGCUAAUACAUGUAUAAAGUCUUGUAGACUGCAUUUAUUAGAAUGAAAACCAUAGGUUUCGGCCUAUUCGUGAGUAAUAAUAACUAAUCAUAUCGUAUGCUUAGUAACGAUGUGUCUUUCAAGUUCUGCCCUAUCAGCUUUCGAUGGUAGUGUAUUGGACUACCAUG